GUUUUCUGUAGUGUAGUGGUUAUCACGUUCGCUUUACCACGCGAAAGGUCCCCUGUUCGAAACCGGGCAGAAACA
rnacentral:tRNA from 1 species